AGCAGCCGCGGUAAUUCCAGCUCCAAUAGCGUAUAUUAAAGUUGUUGCAGUUAAAAAGCUCGUAGUUGAAUUUCGGGGUUAGUAGGUUGGUCGUGCCACUGGUACGUACUGGUCUCACUGAUUCCUCCUUCCUGAUGAACUGUAAUGCCAUUAAUUUGGUGUUGCAGGGAAACUGGACUGUUACUUUGAAAAAAUUAGAGUGUUUAAAGCAAGCUAACGCUUGAAUACAUUAGCAUGGAAUAAUGAAAUAGGACGUUCGAUCCUAUUUGUUGGUUUCUAGGAUUGACGUAAUGAUUAAUAGGGAUAGUUGGGGGCAUUAGUAUUCAAUUGUCAGAGGUGAAAUUCUUGGAUUUAUUGAAGACUAACUACUGCGAAAGCAUUUGCCAAGGAUGUUUUCAUUAAUCAAGAACGAAAGUUAGGGGAUCGAAGACGAUCAGAUACCGCCGUAGUCUUAACCAUAAACUAUGCCGACUAGGGAUCGGAUGAUGUUAAUUUUUUAAUGACUCAUUCGGCGCCUUAC
rnacentral:misc_RNA from 1 species